UAUAUAUAUAUAUAUAGUUGUAUAGAUCCCCCUCACUGUGAGUGGUUGUGUGUGUGUAUAUAUAUAUAUAUAUAGUUGUGUAUAGAUCCCCCUCACUGUGUGUAGUUGUGUGUGUGUGUGUG